CAUUCUGUAGCAAUACAGGGUGUGGGCGCGUGGCGAACGGGUGCGUAACACGUGGAUAACCUUCCUUGAGGUGGGGAAUAACCCAGUGAAAAUUGGGCUAAUACCGCAUAACAAUGCGAUGGCACAUGCUGUUGCAUUCAAAGGCGCAAGUCGCCACAAGAGGGAUCCGCGGCCGAUUAGCUAGUUGGCGAGGUAAUGGCUCACCAAGGCAUUGAUCGGUAGCCGGACUGAGAGGUUGGCCGGCCACACUGGAACUGAGACACGGUCCAGACUCCUACGGGAGGCAGCAGUGGGGAAUCUUGCACAAUGGACGAAAGUCUGAUGCAGCAACGCCGCGUGGGGGAUGAAGCUUCUCGGAGUGUAAACCCCUUUCGACCCGGAAGAAUACCCGCAAGGGUAUGACGGUACGGGUAUAAGAAGCCCCGGCUAACUACGUGCCAGCAGCCGCGGUAAUACGUAGGGGGCCAGCGUUGCUCGGAAUUACUGGGCGUAAAGGGUCCGUAGGCGGUGUAGCAAGUCGAUAGUGAAAUCUCUGGGCUUAACCCAGAGGCUGCUAACGAAACUGCUGUGCUAGAGUGUGAGAGAGGCGAGUGGAAUUACGGGUGUAGCGGUGAAAUGCGUAGAUAUCCGUAGGAACAUCCGAGGCGAAGGCGGCUCGCUGGAUCACAACUGACGCUGAGGGACGAAAGCUAGGGGAGCAAACAGGAUUAGAUACCCUGGUAGUCCUAGCCCUAAACCAUCAGGACUUGGGGUUUGCCCUGUACGGGGCAAGUCCCGUAGCUAACGCGUUAGGUCCUGCGCCUGGGGAGUACGGUCGC
rnacentral:rRNA from 1 species